rnacentral:rRNA from 1 species
CAUGGCGAUUGGCGAACGGCCUGAGUAAUGCAUCGGAACGUGCCCAGUCGUGGGGGAUAACGCAGCGAAGCUGUGCUAAUACCGCAUACGAUCUAUGGAUGAAAGCGGGGGACCUUCGGGCCUCGCGCGAUUGGAGCGGCCGAUGUUAGAUUAGGUAGUUGGUGGGGUAAAGGCUCACCAAGCCAACGAUCUAUGCUGGUCUGAGAGGACGACCAGCCACACUGGAACUGAGACACGGUCCAGACUCCUACGGGAGGCAGCAGUGGGGAAUUUUGGACAAUGGGCGAAAGCCUGAUCCAGCAAUACCGCGUGCAGGAAGAAGGCCCUCGGGUUGUAAACUGCUUUUGUACGGAACGAAACGGCGCGCUCUAAUAAAGUGCGCUAAUGACGGUACCGUAAGAAUAAGCACCGGCUAACUACGUGCCAGCAGCCGCGGUAAUACGUAGGGUGCGAGCGUUAAUCGGAAUUACUGGGCGUAAAGCGUGCGCAGGCGGUUUUGUAAGACAGGCGUGAAAUCCCCGGGCUCAACCUGGGAAUUGCGCUUGUGACUGCAAGGCUAGAGUACGGUAGAGGGGGGUAGAAUUCCGCGUGUAGCAGUGAAAUGCGUA